UGCCAGCAGCCGCGGUAAUACGGGGGAUGCAAGCGUUAUCCGGAAUCAUUGGGCGUAAAGCGCCUGUAGGUUGUUUAAUAAGUCCCACGUGAAAGACCAGGGCUCAACCCUGGGAACGCGAGGGAAACUGGUAAGCUGGAAUCUUGGAGGGGGUACUGGAAUUCCUAGUGUAGGGGUGAAAUCUGUUGAUAUUAGGAAGAACACCGGAGGCGAAGGCGAGUACCUGGCCAAAGAUUGACGCUGAUGAGCGAAAGCGUAGGGAGCGAACAGGAUUAGAUA
rnacentral:rRNA from 1 species